ACCUCCUCCCAUCAAUCACAAAUGUCCUGAAUGGCAUUUAAGGAUUGCUAUUAAGGACAUUUGUGAUUCGUGGGAGGAGGU
rnacentral:pre_miRNA from 2 species